AGGGUCAGGGUGCGGCGGACAGGUUGGCGCGCUCUCCCCGCGUGGGGCGCCCGACCCGCCGGGUCCACGUGCCGCGGCGCACGCCGGCGUGCGCGGAGAAUGGCCCCGUGCCAAAUGAAGGACGGCUCGUGCGUUCUGGCUCCGCCUCGGUCUGGCGCUCUGCAAGUCAGGUGCCGCCCGAACAGGUUCGCGUGCGCCCCGGCACGUGGCCCGCAGAGCCGCCGACCAGCCAGCGCCGUGCGCCACGGCACGCGCCGGCGCGCGCGCGGCUGCCGAUCCGUGCGCGCGCGGCGCACGCGGGCGCGCCAAAAAAGUGGCCUGGUCCUGGGUCGUUUUAUGUCCACGCGUUGCAUUUGUGGGGAUCCGGCUUUGGGUAGGUGUGGGAAGGAUAGAACCGUCGAGCUCCGCCGGCGCGCCCGGCGUCCUGUUGCCUUCGCGAGCCCCCGCCGGGCGCUGUGGCGGCGGCACGUGCCUUUAGGGUCGCCCGUGGCCCCGUGGCGCGUGCGCACGCGUGCACGUGCCGCCACAGCCGUGCCCGCGCGGGCCGUGCGCCGCGCCACGCGCCAGCGCCGCGCGCGGCUGCCACUGGUGCGCGCCGGCUGCCGCUGGUGCGCCGCGGCUGGCCGAGUCCGGUGCGCGCGCGGCUGCCGAUCCGUGCGCGCGCGGCGCACGCGGGCGCGCCAAAAAAGUGGCCUGGUCCUGGGUCGUUUUAUGUCCACGCGUUGCAUUUGUGGGGAUCCGGCUUUGGGUAGGUGUGGGAAGGAUAGAACCGUCGAGCUCCGCCGGCGCGGCCAGAGAAAGCGCAGACAGGCGGCGUGGGCAGCCGGCCGCCAAGGGGGGGGCGUGGACGCCCAAGUCAACACGCCGCUUUCCGAUGGAGGCCAGACGUGGACAUCCACGUGGCCGGCCGCGGGGGGACCAACUGGCCGGCAACCGGCAACAUGCCCGCCCCUCCGACCGCCGUCCGGCCGCUGUUUCCUGCAUGGUGCAACGUAAUAGUAGUACAUAAUCUCAUUUACUCGCUCUUCGAAGUAGGGGGAGGGCCCCGAAGGCACAGUAAAACAGUGAAAUGUGAGAGAUGAUGAUAUAUGAUAGUAUAUGUUCUAUGAUGUAUAUAUAUAGCGGAAACGGGGGGUAUUGAGAACAUUGUCUCGAUACCCCACAUCCGCCUGGUGGAGUAUUAUUUGAGGAAGAAACUGAGAGGGAGCUCCGCCAUCUACUCUUUCCUUCUCCUUGGUCGCCUCUCUCUCGCCGGUGACUCCUCCAGAAUGAGGGCUCGGGUGUCAGCGUUGCUCCUCUUGCUGCUGCUGCUGCUGCUGCUGCUGUUGCUGCUGCCUCUAGACACCGCCGCGGAAAGGUACGAUGACGGAAACCCUCACUAUUCCUCCCAUCACAGCCGUUUAUUAGUGGAUUUCUGGAUGACUAAGAUGGUCUACUCUCUCUCUCCCUCUCUCCCUCCCUCUCUCCUCUCCUCCUCUCUCUCUCUCUCUCUCUCUCUCUCGCUAAUCUGUCUAUCUAGGGAAUGGGAUGGAAGAAGAGCCUUCGCCGCCUUGGAGAGGAACCAGCAGGUGGGUUUCUUGUUUUCGGGACCCCUCAUCUUGUUUUACUCUAUUCUGGGGAUCGAAAGCUGAAGGUAUUCGGUCGGUUUCAGGAUGACAGUGGGAGUGUGAGAGCAGGGAGAGCUCCGGUGGGAAGAACAGCUCUCCAUUCAGGUAUGAUGAAGGAGAGUUAGAAUUUUAGUUAGAAUCCAACCGUAGAUGGGAAAACUUUCAUGAAGAUUAUUGCUUCUGAUCAUCCGAAACAUGAUCUCUCUCUCUCUCUCCUCUCUCUCUCUCUCUCCUCUCUCUCUCUCUCUCGCUCUCUCACUUGCUCAGAGUACUCACUUUAUCCCUCUUAUCGCGCAGGAAACAGUAGAAAACUUCUGACCCGGCGCCACGAAAGGUUUGUCUUUUAGUCAGAACAAUUAAAGUCAAACUGGCGUUCCGAUUAUUCCAGCACUGUAGUCGUCUUCAUCCUCACGUUGAUUUU
rnacentral:rRNA from 1 species